rnacentral:rRNA from 1 species
UACGAAGGGGGCUAGCGUUGCUCGGAAUCACUGGGCGUAAAGCGCACGUAGGCGGAUCUUUAAGUCAGGGGUGAAAUCCUGGAGCUCAACUCCAGAACUGCCUUUGAUACUGAGGAUCUUGAGUCCGGGAGAGGUGAGUGGAACUGCGAGUGUAGAGGUGAAAUUCGUAGAUAUUCGCAAGAACACCAGUGGCGAAGGCGGCUCACUGGCCCGGUACUGACGCUGAGGUGCGAAAGCGUGGGGAGCAAACAGGG